CAGCUUCUCGUCGUCUCAGAGCCCCGCCCUCUAUCUCACAGUUGGAGACUUGGUGACAAAUCUGAUCAUCAGGGUGGUGCUGGUGAUCUUCUUCCUGAUCAUGGGGACCAUCUCCCUCUACUUCUACUGUCGGGCCAGUAGGGGGCGCUGCAGACUGAAGGCACGGAACACACCAUGAGAUACAGCAGCACAGCAACCACCACAGCAACCACCAAGUCCACAGCAACAUCCACGCCAACGUCCACAGCAACAUCUACAUCAGUGUCCACAUCCAAGUCCACAUUGCCAUGGAAACGCCAGCCUUUGUCCCACUCUGGACCUGCUGACGUGUCUGAUAAACCUGUCAGGUUUCAUUUUUAUCUCUGUACAUAUUUGAGGUAUUUGUCAGAAGUUCUUGUGUGAUUUUUUUUUGUUGUUUUUAUCGCUGCCUUAGUUUUGUAUUGUUUUCAUUUUGUUCUUUUCCAGCUCAUAUAUGAACUCUGCUCUGAAAGCAGCUGCAAACACUUGGAAAUCCUUCAUAUGGAUGAAUUCACCACUUUUCCUGGGCUGUUCCUUUAGUUUGACACCAGAGUUCUACUAGAGUUUGGAGUUCUUGUUCAGUCUUUCACUGUGCUUUUCUGUCUUUAUGUCAUUCUAGGUGUUUGUGAGUUUGUCCUGUAUUUCUGUGUCAGUAUCCUGUACAUACAGUCUCAUGUUGAACUCUGAUCAGGGCCUACAGCUCAGUCUCUACAGUAUUAAAGCUUCUCAACUGGUGGCUCGUGGCCCUAAAGUCAAACCAGCUUAAAUGCUUCAGUCUGUGAUGUCACUUGUAUUUGACAGAUGUACAGGAUGCUGGCUGUUGCUAUGGAAACGCCAGCCUUUGUCCGACUCUGGACCUGCUGACGUGUCUGAUGAACCUGUCAGGUUUCAUUUUUAUCUCUGUACAUAUUUGAGGUAUUUGUCAGAACUUCUUGUGUGAUUUUUUUGUUUUUUUUUUAUCGCUGCCUUAGUUUCGUAUUGUUUUACUGUGAAGCAGAUUGAACCUCAGAUGAAAACAGCAGUCUGAGUUUUGGAUGGACACAUUUACAACAUGUAUUUAAUACUUUUCCAUCUUUAAUGCUCCGUGCGUCCAUAUAUGGUCCUUUGACUCCAUCUGUUCAUUAUUAUUCUGACUUGUAUUUACGCCUCCUGAUUCAUGUCCAAUCAACAGUUUUAUUAAAGUGUGUGUGUGAACAGCUGUGGGUUAUUCAUUACAGCUAUAACAGGUUUCAUCACUUACAUCCACAAUAAAACAGUGAGCUGCAGUUUGUUGUUGUCGCCACUAGAGGACAGUAGAGGGCAGCAGCACAGCACCAAUCAG